UACGUAGGGGGCAAGCGUUGUCCGGAAUCAUUGGGCGUAAAGAGCGUGUAGGCGGCCAGAUAAGUCCGCUGUGAAAUCUCGAGGCUCAACCUCGAGACGCCGAUGGAAACCGCAUGGCUAGAGUCCGGAAGAGGAGAGUGGAAUUCCUGGUGUAGCGGUGAAAUGCGCAGAUAUCAGGAAGAACACCCGUGGCUAAGGCGGCUCUCUAGUACGGUACUGACGCUGAGACGCGAAAGCGUGGGGAGCGAACAGG
rnacentral:rRNA from 1 species